rnacentral:rRNA from 1 species
ACGGAAGGCAGCAGUGGGGAAUAUUGCACAAUGGGCGGAAGCCUGAUGCAGCGACGCCGCGUGAGUGAAGAAGUUAUUCGUAACGUAAAGCUCUAUCAGCAGGGAAGAAAAUGACGGUACCUGACUAAGAAGCCCCGGCUAACUACGUGCCAGCAGCCGCGGUAAUACGUAGGGGGCAAGCGUUAUCCGGAUUUACUGGGUGUAAAGGGAGCGUAGACGGCAUGGCAAGUCUGAAGUGAAAUCCCGGGGCUCAACCCUGGAACUGCUUUGGAAACUGUCAAGCUAGAGUGCAGGAGAGGUAAGCGGAAUUCCUAGUGUAGCGGUGAAAUGCGUAGAUAUUAGGAGGAACACCAGUGGCGAAGGCGGCUUACUGGACUGUAACUGACGUUGAGGCUCGAAAGCGUGGGGAGCAAACAGGAUUAGAUACCCUGGUA